UAGGUCUUUGGUGUAGUGGUAACAUGGCAAGUUCCAACCUUGUUGUCGUGGGUUCGAUUCCUACAAGGUCUGU
rnacentral:tRNA from 1 species